rnacentral:rRNA from 1 species
AUUGAACGCUGGCGGCAGGCCUAACACAUGCAAGUCGAGCGGAGCGGCGGACGGGUGAGUAAUGCCUAGGAAUCUGCCUGGUAGUGGUGGAUAACGUCCGGAAACGGGCGCUAAUACCGCAUACUAUCAGAUGAGCCUAGGUCGGAUUAGCUAGUUGGUGGGGUAAAGGCCUACCAAGGCGACGAUCCGUAACUGGUCUGGUAGGAUGAUCAGUCAAACGGGAACUGAGACACGGGCCAUACUCCGACGGGAGGCAGCAGUGGGGAAUAUUGGACAAGGGGCGAAAGCCUGAUCCAGCCAUGCCGCGUGUGUGAAGAAGGUCUUCGGAUUGUAAAGCACUUUAAGUUGGGAGGCGUUACCAACAGAAUAAGCACCGGCUAACUUCGUGCCAGCAGCCGCGGUAAUUC